GGCGGCAUGGCCAAGUGGUAAGGCACGGGACUGCAAAUCCUUUACCCCCAGGUCAAAUCUGGGUGCCGCCU
rnacentral:tRNA from 1 species